ACCAUUUCCCCAGCCUCCACGGCCUCGCUGAUUUCCUCUUCAUAUGCCCAAGUUCUCUACAAUUUUAACACACUUAAUAACUUAACCAAGUAAACAUCGCUGCUAUUGGAGCAGCCGUAUCAUGAUUCUAUUUGAUGUACCAUCAAUCCAGGAAAUCAUAGUAUAGCUUCUAACCUCAAUUGGCAUAACUUAAUUUCAUCAUUCGCUAAACAUCCC
rnacentral:lncRNA from 1 species